rnacentral:rRNA from 1 species
AUUGAACGCUGGCGGCAUGCCUUACACAUGCAAGUCGAACGGUAACGGGCCUUCGGGUGCCGACGAGUGGCGAACGGGUGAGUAAUGUAUCGGAACGUACCUUUCAGUGGGGGAUAACGUAGCGAAAGUUACGCUAAUACCGCAUAUUCUGUGAGCAGGAAAGCAGGGGAUCGCAAGACCUUGCGCUGAUUGAGCGGCCGAUAUCAGAUUAGCUAGUUGGUGAGGUAAAGGCUCACCAAGGCGACGAUCUGUAGCGGGUCUGAGAGGAUGAUCGCCACACUGGAACUGAGACACGGUCCAGACUCCUACGGGAGGCAGCAUGGGGAAUUUUGGACAAUGGACGAAAGUCUGAUCCAGCAAUGCCGCGUGCAGGACGAAGGCCUUCGGUUGGUAAACUGUUUUGUUACAGUAACGAAAAAGUACUUUAAUAACACUAAGAGGCUCAUGACGGUACUGUAAGAAUAAGACACCGGCUAACUACGUAGCCAGCAGCCGCGGUAAC